rnacentral:lncRNA from 1 species
UCUUAUCCAUCCCUCAAACCCCAUCAAACGGUCAAGAACUAAAUCAUUAGUCACAGAAAACUAUCUUUGAGACCGAACCCCACAAACUUCUCAUAUCAUCUCUCACCUCCUCUUUCACGCCCCACCUUCCGCCACCGCCGGAAAUUGCCCAUAGCGGCGGCCAGUCUCCAAAUAGCCCUUAAAUUUCACCCUAUAUUCCCCAACUCCUCUUCCAUCCAAACCUCUUGCCAAUAUCCCCAAAAUCCCCAUCAAAAUCAAUAAAUUUUAGAUCUCGAAAUAUCAGAAAAUCGAUUCUUUCCUUUGUUCAUUGCUCGAUCAUUUCGGCUUGGUUACGGCCAAAACUUACUUCAAUGGAAAGCUCUUGACAAGUGCUAUAUAUUUAUGUAAGAGGUGGGUCAUUUAUCAGUGGCCGGAUUUUGGUCAACCGGUGUUUGACCGGUCGGAGCCGUCUGGAGAUUCCUUCUGUCGUUUCUUUUGAGCUCGUUAGGUAAUCCUUGUCCCUUUCUUCUUUGUUCCUCUCUAUCCUUUUGAUAAUUAGAAAUUAGAAAUUAGGUUUAGUUGUUCUUCCGAUUUUAGCACUGAUAAGUUUUAAAACUGAAUUAUUCAAUUGUCGACUCUUGUUUAAUUCCUAUUUUUCAUAUUUGUUCAUUCUUUGUUGUUUGUCUCUUGGAUUUAGAUUUGAUUUAGUAGUACUUUGUUUUGGUCUAUGUAUUUUGUUAUUAGUUGAUUAAAUUAGAUUUUAGUUUGUUUAAUUAGUGUGUACCGUGCAAUUUUUGCACAAAUUAGAGUUAUGGGAUUUUUGUUUUAUGUUUUGUCAAAGUGAUGAAGAGGGUUUUUGGGUGUUAAAGAUAGGUAUGAUCUUGGGCCAGAGACAGGCCCAAAUUUUAUAUGAGUAAAAGAGUUGGGCCUAGGGAAUAUCCGUUAGAAUAGUGAGGAAGUUUCUAGAGGUUAGUAGAGGAAAAGAAAGGGUAGAAAAGGACCAUAUAGCAAUAAAGGGGACUGGAGGGGGUAAAAAUAGAAAUAAAAAUGACUGAAAAGGAAGAGAAAUAACAGAAAAGAUGCUGAUAUUCUGUUAUAAAAUUGUUCAUUCCCUCUCACAUAAGACUCACGCAUUCACUGACUAUUCACAAUACAUUCACUCUCAUUCUGUCAUCCUCUCUCAUCUGAUACACAUACAAUACACAUUCUCAUUUAUAGAAUUUAUUGUCUCUCUCACUCUCACUCGUACUCUCUCAUCUUCACUUCUCACUCCUUCACAAAGCUGGAUAUACACUCAAUCACACACGUCUGGAAAAUGCUAAAAGAAAUAGUUUGAAAUUCAAAAAUAUGAGAUCUAGAAAACCAAAAAAAGAGAAUGAAAUUCUGGAAAAACAAAAUAAAGGAAGAACAAUAGAGUUUUUGGUAGGUUACUUUGGAAUUUGGAUUCAAACAAUUCAAAAUCGAAGUUGUGGUUGUUUGCUGCUAAUUUCGAGUUGAUUUGCUUGGGUCUCAAACUUUUCUUCCUCUGGUUUGGCACUGUUGUUUUAUGUUGUUCAUCACUCUGAACUUCAUCUUCAGUUCAGACCUCUAUUUAAUUUUUGAUUGUUGUUUAGGUAUGUUCAGCUGUCUCUGCUGUUGUUGUUUGAAUCUUAAAUGAAAACUCAAUUUGUUUAUGUGUUAAUUUUGUUCCACUUUACAGAUUUGUCAUGUGUAAUUGUUGAUCUGUUUCGAUUUACUUUCUCUGUUAAGUUCUGAAACUAUUAUGUUCUAAAUCUGUUAUAAUCCUUAGAUUCAUCAUCUGUUUAUGUUAGUGUAAGUUUUAGCAUUUGAAUUGAUUAAUUGUCGAUAAAUAGAAUAACACUUCCUAUUAUCGAUCGUUUAGUUUAUGAGGUCGAUGUUUCAUGUUCAAAUGAUAUUGACAGGGGAGACUGGUCCUAAUUUGUUGUUAGUUUGAUAACCAACACUCAUGGCCAAUAUAGUUCCCAAGGAUAAUCCAGUGGCUUAGUUUUUCUUGUAAAUUAGAAGAUCGCUGGAGUUUGUGAAAGCUAAAAUUGGCUAGUACUGUAAAGUUGGAUGUCACUAUAAUGUUUAUUCAUUGUUAGUGUUGUAAUGAACUUGAACACUUCCAAUUACUGGCUAUGUAUGUAAUAAACUGAAUAAUUUCCUAGUUCAUUCUGGCUGAAAGUAAAAGUGAUUGUUGGGCCCUGUCAAAUAAGACCACUAAGAAUUGGUCUGUUUUUUUUUCUUUUCUGGAAAGCAAAUGGAGUUCAUGACUCUCAAGCUGUAAGGUCAUAUGGGCCUAAAACCAACUGGCUAUGCCAACUCAAUAGAUGCGGGCCUGUUGGAAGCCCUUAUAAUUGAUAUUGAUUUCUUUGUGAUGUUUUAUCAGUAGUCCAAUAACGUGAAAUGCAUCCCCAUCCGAAUUGAUUUGUAAUCUCUUACUCGUAAAAAUAGCACGGGCUAGCCAGUUUUCGGAUUGGUCAUUAAAAAAUAGCCCACGUUUGUAAAGUCAUUGAAAAAUAGCCACUAUUUUGCUGCAACAUGAAAAGUUUCAGCAUAAUAUACUGGAGAUCGAUGCAACUGUGUAUGAACUUUCAGCAUAAAACUCUAACACGCGGAAAGUUCCUGUAUAAUAUACUGGAGAUUGGAGCACCG